rnacentral:rRNA from 1 species
GAUGAACGCUGGCGGCGUGCCUAAUACAUGCGAGUCGAGCGAACAGACGAGGAGCUUGCUCCUCUGACGUUAGCGGCGGACGGGUGAGUAACACGUGGAUAACCUACCUAUAAGACUGGGAUAACUUCGGGAAACCGGAGCUAAUACCGGAUAAUAUAUUGAACCGCAUGGUUCAAUAGUGAAAGACGGUUUUGCUGUCACUUAUAGAUGGAUCCGCGCCGCAUUAGCUAGUUGGUAAGGUAACGGCUUACCAAGGCGACGAUGCGUAGCCGACCUGAGAGGGUGAUCGGCCACACUGGAACUGAGACACGGUCCAGACUCCUACGGGAGGCAGCAGUAGGGAAUCUUCCGCAAUGGGCGAAAGCCUGACGGAGCAACGCCGCGCGAGUGAUGAAGGUCUUCGGAUCGUAAAACUCUGUUAUUAGGGAAGAACAAAUGUGUAAGUAACUAUGCACGUCUUGACGGUACCUAAUCAGAAAGCCACGGCUAACUACGUG